CUAGAGCUGUUGCUGAGAAGGUAGGAAGGCAAGAAAAUGGGUGUCCGACGAUUGGGGCCGUUACUACGGGCGUUUGACCGACUGUAACUCAUACAGAUCUUGGCUGACAUGCAGGGCUGAAGGAUGCGUGUGUGCAAUAUAAACGCUACUGUCCGGUGAACGAUGCGUUUGUCCGAUGAACGGGGUAUACAAGGCUCCGCUCAGUUUUCAAUCUCAUUCUAGGCAGAGAAGAGGGACUGCGUUCAAAAACGGAUAACUGAGAACUCGCGUCCGGAAUAUGAUGGUGUCAGAGGAACGGCGCCGCGCUCUAGUGUAUGACUCACUGAAAUUUUCCUGUUGCUUGAUUUGGGGGACUAAUAUAGUAAAUUCAUCUGCCAGUAAACUUCCAAGGUCACAUCAAAACCACGAACUUAUUGUGCAACUGACCUUUGAUUCGUGUAUAGAGUUUGGAAUAGCCCUAUCCACAUUUGUGAGAAACUACUGCAAAUCAAAGUAUCUGAUCAGCUGGAUAUUAUAUUAACAAUAAUAAUCUGUUCAAUACUUAUACAGCAUGGUCAUCUCACAUCCCAACUAUCUGGGAACUGGCUGAACACAUGAUACAUUCUACCAUCUUUCAUGCAUUGGUUUACAGAGUACAUGUAUUGUUGUACUAUUUA